CUCUGACAAUCCUAGAGAUAGGACGUCCCCUUCGGGGGCAGAGUGACAGGUGGUGCAUGGUUGUCGUCAGCUCGUGUCGUGAGAUGUUGGGUUAAGUCCCGCAACGAGCGCAACCCUUGAUCUUAGUUGCCAGCAUUCAGUUGGGCACUCUAAGGUGACUGCCGGUGACAAACCGGAGGAAGGUGGGGAUGACGUCAAAUCAUCAUGCCCCUUAUGACCUGGGCUACACACGUGCUACAAUGGACAGAACAAAGGGCAGCGAAACCGCGAGGUUAAGCCAAUCCCACAAAUCUGUUCUCAGUUCGGAUCGCAGUCUGCAACUCGACUGCGUGAAGCUGGAAUCGCUAGUAAUCGCGGAUCAGCAUGCCGCGGUGAAUACGUUCCCGGGCCUUGUACACACCGCCCGUCACACCACGAGAGUUUGUAACACCCGAAGUCGGUGAGGUAAC
rnacentral:rRNA from 1 species